rnacentral:lncRNA from 1 species
GAAUAACUGACAACAUAUUAACAAUUGUUAGAGUGAAGUCUUUGUACAAAAAAUAUGCAGACAAAAUUUGUUUCUGUUACAGUCCCAACUUUCAGAAAGAGAGCUGAACCCCUACUGGAAAGAUGGUGGUACAGGCUUGCCACCAGAAGAGGGAGAAGCAGCUUCAGUAAAAAACGUUACUGCAGUAGAAGAUGGUGGCUUAAGUUGGCUGCAAAAAUCAUACCAAAGGAUGAAAGAGCAGGCUGAAAGAGAGAAUCGCAAUUUUGAGGAAAUUAUUACUGAACGUUAUGGUUCAGUGGAGAUAUUUCAGUCAAGAAUGGAAGAAGCUGAAAAAGUCGCAUCAAAAAAGGAAAAUGAUAGAAGAGGAAGAUGGGGGAAAUACGAUUAUUCAGAGAAUGAGCAGAAAAAAAGAGAACGCCAGCUCAUAAGAGAAGGACAUGAUGAAGGUGACAUGGAUAAGUGUAAGGGAUACAUAAGAGAGAAAUAUAAAGUAUACUCACAAGAAGACAGAAGUUACAGAAAGGGCAGGUCAAGAGAAGAACAAGAAUCUAGACAUAGUAGCACAGACUCUGAGUUAAGAGACCGUGUUUCCAAAGCAGCGAAACAUUGUGACCAAAAACAAAAUCAGGAGAAGAAUUCUGCUCUAAAUAUUUUGAAACAUCGAUUUUUGAAGCCUUCUGAGGAAAACUGGUCAUCUUGUAGUAGGGAUAAAGACUAUGGUCUGCAGAAGUCCUCUUUCAGACUACCAACUCAUAGCUCUUUAAGCAGCAGUUUUCAAAAGCCUGGUGAAGACACUGAAAUAAAAUCACUUUGGAGGCGAACAUGUGAAGAUGCUGAGAGAUCGGUGUUAGACCAAAAGCCAGUUAAAAUGGAAAAAGUUGCUGCUAAUCGGGAAGAAGCAUCAAAAGGUGAAAGAGAAAAGUCAUUGGAAGAAAACCUAAGAAAAAUCCCAGAGAAGGAAGAUCCACUAUCAGAGAACAAAGCAUCAUGUUCUGGACAUAUGCCAAAGGAUGAGACUCCCCAAGUCCUUAGUGAUGAGGAGAUGAACAGGCUGGGAGCCAGAAUUUUGAAAGCAGAACUGAUGGGAAACAUGAGAGAUGAAUGGAUGACCUUUGAUUUUAUGGCCAUGAAAACCACAUCUGUAGCAUCACUCAAAGCUGAAAAACAGAAAGAGAAAAUACUGGAGCAAGAGAGAGCUCGGGAAAUUGAACAGGUACAAGGAAAUUUUACUAAUAUAGUAUAUAGUUUAGUUGGGCACAUCUUGUUUUUUCUUAUAUAUUUCUCACAUUG